rnacentral:rRNA from 1 species
AGAGUUUGAUCCUGGCUCAGGAUGAACGCUAGCGGCAGGCUUAAUACAUGCAAGUCGAGGGGCAGCACGAAUAGCAAUAUUUGGUGGCGACCGGCGCACGGGUGCGUAACACGUAUACAAUCUAUUAAAACAGGGGGAUAGCCUUUCGAAAGAGAGAUUAAUACCCCGUAAUAAAUUUAAUGGCAUCAUUAGAUUUUGAAAGCUGAGGCGGUUUUAGAUGAGUAUGCGUCUGAUUAGCUAGUUGGUAGUGUAAUGGACUACCAAGGCGACGAUCAGUAGGGGAUCUGAGAGGACUACCCCCCCACACUGGUACUGAGACACGGACCAGACUCCUACGGGAGGCAGCAGUAAGGAAUAUUGGUCAAUGGAGGCAACUCUGAACCAGCCAUGCCGCGUGCAGGAAGACGGCCCUAUGGGUUGUAAACUGCUUUUGUACCAGAGAAAACCACUUUACGUGUAGAGUGUUGAUAGUAUGGUAAGAAUAAGCAUCGGCUAACUUCGUGCCAGCAGCCGCGGUAAGACGAAGGAUGCAAGCGUUAUCCGGAUUCAUUGGGUUUAAAGGGUGCGUAGGCGGACUAAUAAGUCAGUGGUGAAAUCUCUCAGCUUAACUGAGAAACUGCCAUUGAUACUGUUAGUCUAGAGUAUAGAUGACGUUGGCGGAAUAUGACAUGUAGUGGUGAAAUACUUAGAUAUGUCAUAGAACACCGAUUGCGAAGGCAGCUAACGAAACUAUAACUGACGCUGAGGCACGAAAGUGCGGGGAUCAAACAGGAUUAGAUACCCUGGUAGUCCGCACCGUAAACGAUGAUUACUCGUUGUUGGCGAUAUGACAGUCAGCGACCAAGCGAAAGCGAUAAGUAAUCCACCUGGGGAGUACGCCGGCAACGGUGAAACUCAAAGGAAUUGACGG